rnacentral:lncRNA from 1 species
GGGCUAUAAGCGUUCAUCACUACUUACCUUGGGUUCAAGAUCAUCUCCUUCUAUGAUCGUAUCGAUCAUGUGUGUUUUCUCAACAUUGUUAAAAUUGAAUGGUGGAAUUGAGAGUCAUAGACUCGUAAUGUAACACUCUCAAGUUGUCUCCUAAUGGUCACAAACCAUGAUGAUAUAUCCUAAUGAUCAUGGGAACUUCAUGGCUAGGUGGGGAAUAAAUAUCACCGCGUCAAGUAAGUUGAGGGAUGGUC